rnacentral:rRNA from 1 species
UACCAUGCAAGUCGAGCGGUAGAGAGAAGCUUGCUUCUCUUGAGAGCGGCGGACGGGUGAGUAAUGCCUAGGAAUCUGCCUGGUAGUGGGGGAUAACGUUCGGAAACGGACGCUAAUACCGCAUACGUCCUACGGGAGAAAGCAGGGGACCUUCGGGCCUUGCGCUAUCAGAUGAGCCUAGGUCGGAUUAGCUAGUUGGUGAGGUAAUGGCUCACCAAGGCGACGAUCCGUAACUGGUCUGAGAGGAUGAUCAGUCACACUGGAACUGAGACACGGUCCAGACUCCUACGGGAGGCAGCAGUGGGGAAUAUUGGACAAUGGGCGAAAGCCUGAUCCAGCCAUGCCGCGUGUGUGAAGAAGGUCUUCGGAUUGUAAAGCACUUUAAGUUGGGAGGAAGGGUUGUAGAUUAAUACUCUGCAAUUUUGACGUUACCGACAGAAUAAGCACCGGCUAACUCUGUGCCAGCAGCCGCGGUAAUACAGAGGGUGCAAGCGUUAAUCGGAAUUACUGGGCGUAAAGCGCGCGUAGGUGGUUUGUUAAGUUGGAUGUGAAAUCCCCGGGCUCAACCUGGGAACUGCAUUCAAAACUGACUGACUAGAGUAUGGUAGAGGGUGGUGGAAUUUCCUGUGUAGCGGUGAAAUGCGUAGAUAUAGGAAGGAACACCAGUGGCGAAGGCGACCACCUGGACUAAUACUGACACUGAGGUGCGAAAGCGUGGGGAGCAAACAGGAUUAGAUACCCUGGUAGUCCACGCCGUAAACGAUGUCAACUAGCCGUUGGAAGCCUUGAGCUUUUAGUGGCGCAGCUAACGCAUUAAGUUGACCGCCUGGGGAGUACGGCCGCAAGGUUAAAACUCAAAUGAAUUGACGGGGGCCCGCACAAGCGGUGGAGCAUGUGGUUUAAUUCGAAGCAACGCGAAGAACCUUACCAGGCCUUGACAUCCAAUGAACUUUCUAGAGAUAGAUUGUGCCUUCGGAACAUUGAGACAGGUGCUGCAUGGCUGUCGUCAGCUCG